CCGUCCCAAGCCCAUUUCUCUUCCUAGGGAACUCUGGGAACUGUAGCUCAUGGGAGGAACAGCACUUGGUGCCCUGAACUCUGGGAACCAAUGGGCUGGCACCGCCGAGUGUCGCCUUGGCCUGCGACUUUGAAGGCACCACCUGCAGCUGGGAGGACGUCAGCAUGUCUGGGUACUGGUGGCGCCCAGGGUGGGGCAGAGGCUGGGUGCGCGGCCCCAACUCCCCCUUCAACCACACGCUGGGCACUGACCAGGGUAAAACUUGCUUCAUUUGAAAGGCAGAGAAGCAUUGCUAAGCAGUUAGAGCACCCCUUUGACCUGGUGCCCCCCAACCAGGCUGGUACAUGAGCACCUCGGAGCAGCGAACCAAGCCACCUGACUCCGCUCCCUGACCAUGAGUGACGCGGCCACAGCCUGUGAACUCCGCACCUGGUACAGUAUGGCCGAGAAAGCACUACAGAAAACAUGUCCGUUCACUUCAAAAUCCAGCAAACAAGAGAGAGAGACUUCCUGUACAUAUGCAAGAGGAAGGUCUCAUAUUACACUCUUCACAAAGACUUUUCCAGCCUGUGAACUUCCAGGAAGCUUCUUUCCCACAGCUAGCCAUAUCACAUGAUGUCAACAAACUGGCUGUCUGCAGCUGCUAUGAGCUCAUAUUGUAACAAUAAAUUCCAACACACUGAGGAGCCUUUGCUGGAAGGCUGUGGGGCUAUGCACUUACCUGGGAAUCAAACUCACUGAACUUCAAAGAACUUCUGAGAGAAUGUGUAUAGGAUUGCACUAUAAAGGCCUAAAAUUUUGACCAAGACUCAUGGGUUUGAGUCCCAUGUUGCGUGAAAGAUUCCUGCAUGACCCUUGGGGUCCCUUCCAACUCUACAAUUAGCGAAGUCUACAUCAAUAUAAAAUAAAAAUGUGCUUUUAAUGAAA